AGAGUUUGAUCCUGGCUCAGGAUGAACGCCGGCGGUGUGCCUAAUACAUGCAAGUCGUACGCACUGGCCCAACUGAUUGAUGGUGCUUGCACCUGAUUGACGAUGGAUCACCAGUGAGUGGCGGACGGGUGAGUAACACGUAGGUAACCUGCCUCGGAGCGGGGGAUAACAUUUGGAAACAGAUGCUAAUACCGCAUAACAACAAAAGCCACAUGGCUUUUGUUUGAAAGACGGCUUUGGCUAUCACUCUGGGAUGGACCUGCGGUGCAUUAGCUAGUUGGUAAGGUAACGGCUUACCAAGGCAAUGAUGCAUAGCCGAGUUGAGAGACUGAUCGGCCACAAUGGAACUGAGACACGGUCCAUACUCCUACGGGAGGCAGCAGUAGGGAAUCUUCCACAAUGGGCGCAAGCCUGAUGGAGCAACACCGCGUGAGUGAAGAAGGGUUUCGGCUCGUAAAGCUCUGUUGUUGGAGAAGAACGUGCGUGAGAGUAACUGUUCACGCAGUGACGGUAUCCAACCAGAAAGUCACGGCUAACUACGUGCCAGCAGCCGCGGUAAUACGUAGGUGGCAAGCGUUAUCCGGAUUUAUUGGGCGUAAAGCGAGCGCAGGCGGUUGCUUAGGUCUGAUGUGAAAGCCUUCGGCUUAACCGAAGAAGUGCAUCGGAAACCGGGCGACUUGAGUGCAGAAGAGGACAGUGGAACUCCAUGUGUAGCGGUGGAAUGCGUAGAUAUAUGGAAGAACACCAGUGGCGAAGGCGGCUGUCUGGUCUGCAACUGACGCUGAGGCUCGAAAGCAUGGGUAGCGAACAGGAUUAGAUACCCUGGUAGUCCAUGCCGUAAACGAUGAGUGCUAGGUGUUGGAGGGUUUCCACCCUUCAGUGCCGGAGCUAACGCAUUAAGCACUCCGCCUGGGGAGUACGACCGCAAGGUUGAAACUCAAAGGAAUUGACGGGGGCCCGCACAAGCGGUGGAGCAUGUGGUUUAAUUCGAAGCUACGCGAAGAACCUUACCAGGUCUUGACAUCUUGCGCUAACCUUAGAGAUAAGGCGUUCCCUUCGGGGACGCAAUGACAGGUGGUGCAUGGUCGUCGUCAGCUCGUGUCGUGAGAUGUUGGGUUAAGUCCCGCAACGAGCGCAACCCUUGUUACUAGUUGCCAGCAUUAAGUUGGGCACUCUAGUGAGACUGCCGGUGACAAACCGGAGGAAGGUGGGGACGACGUCAGAUCAUCAUGCCCCCUAUGACCUGGGCUACACACGUGCUACAAUGGACGGUACAACGAGUCGCAAGCUCGCGAGAGUAAGCUAAUCUCUUAAAGCCGUUCUCAGUUCGGACUGUAGGCUGCAACUCGCCUACACGAAGUCGGAAUCGCUAGUAAUCGCGGAUCAGCAUGCCGCGGUGAAUACGUUCCCGGGCCUUGCACACACCGCCCGUCA
rnacentral:rRNA from 1 species